rfam:Dipodomys ordii contig_2933, whole genome shotgun sequence.
GGGAAUGUGGCUUAGUGGUAGAGUGCUUGCCUAGCAUGCAUGAAGCCCUGGGUUCCAGUCCUCAGUACCA